rnacentral:tRNA from 1 species
GCGCAAGUGGCGAAAUCGGCAGACGCGCUAGCUUCAGGAGCUAGUGGGGUAACACCCGUGGAGGUUCAAGUCCUCUCUUGCGCA